GCUUAGGGUGGCAUCUCUGGGUUAGAUCCUCAUCUAAAAAGGGCAGAGGCUCGUAGUCUUUAUCCUGCAUACUUCCCACAGCACGAAAAUCAUCUUCCCAAAGUUGCGAAGUCCACAGCAUUGCCUACCCUUUCCAUGCAAAGGUGGAAGCAGCUCACAAGGAACAUAGCAACAUCUACAUGCAGGAAGCAGCUAAGGACAGAGAUCUUUGCAAACAGAGGUGUGCAUAUGAGGAUAUUUGAAAGUCUUGAAACUCCUCACUUCAACUGGAAGAGAACAGAAACAAAUAAAUAGAAAAAUAAAGAUGGAAAAUGUCAUAUCACAGAACAGAAAUGGCCUGUGCACAGAUGGCAGCUGGAAAGGAAAAACAGAAGUCCAUGUCCAUGCACUGGGUGGACUAAAUCUUCAGUCUGACACAGUCAAGGCAACCCCUGAAAACCAAGAACCUGUUGGUUUUUACAUAUCUAAGGAGCAUCUGGUGAUGAGAAGGAACCAGACCAAAGAACUAAGAAACACUGAUCCUCUGCAGGUGAACUAAGCUACAGGCACUUCAGUUAACAUCUUCAAUGCAAGCAUGCAAAGGAUCAUUUGAGACUAACUUGGGAAGUGAAUACUUAAGAUGAGAUGAAGACCAACAUUUCAGAGCAUUUUCACUUACAAAAAGAUGGUACACUUCGUGUUUGUCUCCUGUUUGCUCCCAACCAAGCGGGCUGGAGGAAGCUGGAUUUCAAACCAGAUGAGCCCAGGCAUGGGGAUGGUGCUGCCGUCAGUAUGGCUGGCUGCUGCUCCUGCCUGGGAGCUGUUAGCCUGGACUGCAGACGGAUGUCUCCAUCCCCUCCUCCUGCGCCUAUUUCUCUUCAUUGCAAGCUGACAGCCUGCAGAGCCCACAAGAUACGCUGCUGGAACAAAGUCUGGAGAAGCAGCCUUGGAGCGCAUGUCAGAGUGAACCAGGGGAUGAAGAAGGCAUCACCAGGAGGGUCCUCAGGAACCUGGGCUGAAAGGGCCAGUUCACACACGUGCCUAUGCAACAUCUACGGUUUGGUAUCCUGA
rnacentral:lncRNA from 1 species